rnacentral:SRP_RNA from 3 species
UUGAUUUUUUUAGAAAUUUUCUUGCCAAAAUCGAUUUUUCACGAUAUAAUAAUGUAGCUAACUUAAUAAGAGUACUGGUGCGUGGUAAUCCGUUGGGGCUUGUGCAAUGGGAACCUAUGAACCUUGUCAGGUCCGAGAGGAAGCAGCAAUAAGUAGAUCUUUCCAUGUGCCACGAGGAAACCUGGCGGGUUACCAUACACGAGUACUUUUCAGUUGGUAAAAGCAG